UACAGAGGGUGCGAGCGUUAAUCGGAAUUACUGGGCGUAAAGCGCGCGUAGGCGGCUUUGCAAGUCGGGUGUGAAAUCCCCAGGCUUAACCUGGGAACUGCAUUCGAGACUGCAUUGCUAGAGUAUGGGAGAGGGAAGUGGAAUUUCCGGUGUAGAGGUGAAAUUCGUAGAUAUUGGGAAGAACACCGGUGGCGAAGGCGGCGCUCUGGACCGAGACUGACGCUGAGGCGCGAAGGCGUGGGGAGCAAACAGG
rnacentral:rRNA from 1 species